rnacentral:rRNA from 2 species
ACGGCUCAGUAACACGUGGACAACCUACCCUAAGGAGGGGGAUAACCCCGGGAAACUGGGGAUAAUACCCCAUAGACUAGAGAAGCUGGAAUGCUCUCAAGUCCAAAGGUCCGCCGCCUUAGGAUGGGUCUGCGGUCGAUUAGGUUGUUGUUGGGGUAACGGCCCAACAAGCCCGUGAUCGAUACGGGUUGUGAGAGCAAGAGCCCGGAGAUGGAUUCUGAGACACGAAUCCAGGCCCUACGGGGCGCAGCAGGCGCGAAAACUUUACAAUGCGGGAAACCGUGAUAAGGGAACCCCGAGUGCCCGUAAAUUCGGGCUGUCCAUCAGCGUAAAUAACUGGUGAAGAAAGGGCCGGGCAAGACCGGUGCCAGCCGCCGCGGUAAUACCGGCGGCUCGAGUGGUGGCCACUAUUAUUGGGCUUAAAGCGUCCGUAGCUUGGUUGUUAAGUCUCUUGGGAAAUCUACCGGCUCAACCGGUAGGCGUUCAGGAGAUACUGGCAAUCUAGGGACCGGGAGAGGUGAGAGGUACUCCAGGGGUAGGAGUGAAAUCCUGUAAUCCUUGGGGGACCACCUGUGGCGAAGGCGUCUCACUAGAACGGCUCCGACAGUGAGGGACGAAAGCUGGGGGAGCAAACCGGAUUAGAUACCCGGGUAGUCCCAGCCGUAAACGAUGCGCGUUAGGUGUAUCGGUGACCACGAGUCACCGAGGUGCCGAAGGGAAACCGUGAAACGUGCCGCCUGGGAAGUACGGUCGCAAGGCUGAAACUUAAAGGAAUUGGCGGGGGAGCAC